rnacentral:rRNA from 1 species
GACAGAGGUGCCAAGCGUUGUUCGGAUUCACUGGGCGUAAAGGGUGCGUAGGCGGUCGGGUAAGUCUGAUGUGAAAUCUCACAGCUUAACUGUGAAACUGCAUUGGAUACUAUCCGGCUCGAGGAAUGGAGGGGAGACUGGAAUACUUGGUGUAGCAGUGAAAUGCGUAGAUAUCAAGUGGAACACCAGUGGCGAAGGCGAGUCUCUGGACAUUUCCUGACGCUGAGGCACGAAAGCCAGGGGAGCAAACGGG